rnacentral:rRNA from 1 species
AACGAACGCUGGCGGCGUGUUUAAGACAUGCAAGUCGCACGGGACUAUUUGAGUAGCAAUACAAGAAUAGUCUAGUGGCGCACGGGUGAGUAACACGUGAAUUACAUGCCCUGCAGAGGGGGAUAGCCCAGGGAAACUUGGAUUAAUACCCCAUGGUAUCGCGAGAUUAAAGGUGGCCGCAAGGCUGUCGCUGCAGGAUUGGUUCGCGCCCUAUCGGCUUGUUGGUGAGGUAACGGCUCACCAAGGCUACGACGGGUACCUGGUCUGAGAGGACGAUCAGGCACACUGGAACUGAGACACGGUCCAGACACCUACGGGUGGCAGCAGUCGAGAAUAAUUCACAAUGGGGGCAACCCUGAUGGUGCAACGCCGCGUGGAGGAUGAAGGUCUUCGGAUUGUAAACUCCUGUCAUCCGGGAGUAAGACCUGGCGAUGAAUAGUCGACAGGGUUGAUAGUACCGGAAGAGGAAGGGACGGCUAACUUCGUGCCAGGAGCCGCCGUAA